CAGGGGCCAGGGGGUCUGGUUUUAUAGUCCCUUCAAGUGAAUCUGGGCCGUUGGAUCAAACCGACAUUGAUUGAAUAGUUAUCCUUGAUCCUUUAGGUCGGUGGAGCAAUAUCCUGAAAGAGAGUCCUGAUUGGACUCUAUGUGAGGGCGGGCGCCCAGGAGAGGAGGGCGGGCGCCCUGUCCCUGAGUCCUCUCGGCCUCCGCUUCGGUCCCGUGGCUUCUGGAGUCUUCUAGAUGAUAGAAAAUCAUGCGGCACGUUAAUAUCUCAAUGUAAACCCGACGUGUGGGCCUUUCUUCUGUAUUUCCUGAUAACCCCCUGUAGAAAUAGACAAACACCAAAACUCGUGGAAUUCUGUCAGAUAAAACCCUAAGUCUAGGUGUUGAUUGCAUUUGGAUCCUUUUCCACGAUUAGUUGAUGGUUAAAUAUGAGCAUUAAGGACCGUCAACAAGCUCCCCCAAGCAUAACCUUUGCUCGUCCCUGAGCAAAGAUGGACUCAAGAGUUUCUGCAGUGGUUUCAUGCCUUAAAGAUACACAUGCGUUCAAACAAGAUCUUAUCUAUGAGUUAGGGUAAACUGUUAAGAUUUAAACUUACUCAUUUUACCUUUCACCAAGGGGCUUGCAACCGUCACUUAUGUCUUGAGCAGUUAAAAGAUAGAACGGUCUAGUCAAGCACCAUUUCUCUUAUUCUUGAUCAGCUAUAGCUCUGGAGUUUUUUGCAGAUUUUCAAAUAAAACUCAGAGAUUUCUUGUAUGACUCUCUCUAGUCUCUCUUUUGUGGUAUUUCUGGAUCCUUUCUAAGGCAGUAAUGGUGUAUGCCUUCUCUCAAAGUAUGUGGUAUUUGUGGUAUAAGGCAUAGUGGCGUUGCCUUCUCUCUCACCCUACUCUAAUAAGGUUUUGAUAUCUGGAGCUCAUAGGUGGGAGACAACUAAUACAUACUUACAAGACAUUUAUUGCAUAGUCAAACCAUGGAUCUAGAAGGACAAGUCAAUAAGUCAAAUCGAGAUGUGCAUGUGUGGCGAAUGAAUGGUGUAUGGUGAUGAUGGUGAUAACAAUGGUGAAAGUCUAAUUCUACUUUUGGUCUUUUGAGGGGAUACAUACCUUCUUUGCUCUUUUGAAACUUUUUGAGGAGAAUGAGAUGCUCUAUAUUUUCUUUUUCUUUUCUCUCAGGUGGGUAUCUUGUACCCCUAAUUCUACUGUCGGAAACUUGUCCAUUUUUACCUCUCGUCUCACUUUUUUUCUUUUCUUUCGAGGUUCCGGGCACUUGCCCCUUUUUAUUUCCUCGUAUCUUUUUUUUCUCUUUUUUUUAGAGAACUCCUCUCCUGAAAUAAUAUAGCAAGUGGUAGUAACCAAGAUAACUUGAGCAUUUAUUUCACAGGGAAAAACAGAAAUGUUUUUGGCUAUUCUCUCCCGGAUUAGGAGAAGAAUAUUUUUGGGUAGUUCUGGAGAUGGAAAUGGGUGGAUAUAUGUGGAUGCGUACUUCCGGAGUAGAAGCAGCAUGUGUGAGUGAACGUGCAAGUGAAUCUUGACUUAACCACAUGACAAGCUCCUAAGGGUCCACACAGCUUGACCACACUCAAUGCUCAUAAGUAGUAAAAAAUAAAUGUGUGGCUCAAAGUCUAGCAAGCAUGUAUAUAUGGCUGUGGUAGGAAUUUAAACUCUCAUCAUACAGGAACUCAUCAUGCAACAUUUUAAAGAUUUUUCAAAGAUAAAAUUCUCCAGAAUUCUAGCAUCUCUAGGAACAGAUAAACAGCAGCUCAACCUUCCCAUAUCGUAUCCGUUAACUACUUAGACUUUAGAUCAAGUACUCUCCCCACAAGUUCAGGUUUAGAGCAAAUCUUAAUUAAUAACAGUCAUGCCUAAACUUGAGAGAGAUUUCAAUUUUGAGAACUAGUUAUGGUAGAGCAACUAUUCAUCAUUUCCAUGUGAGAGCUUAUCAUGAGGAUUCAUAGCAAACUUUAUUUAUUGAUUUAUUUAACAAACUAAGCAAAGAUAUAUAUAAGCACAAAAUCUUUAUUUGGGUUUUUAUGAUUAUGCAUCUUUUUAUUAUUUGAGUAAAGUAUAAACGUGAGUAGAAUACUUAGCUGGAUAAAUGGGAGUGCUCUCCCCCAAGCUGGAUUUUGACGUAAUUUCUUCUGAUGUAGCUAGCAGGUGACGGAAGUGUAUUUGAAUGUCGGCAGCACCCUGAUAGCGAUUAGGAUGUCCUCCGUCUGCUAGUCUUCUCUGAUCCUUGAAUUCUCUUGUCAAGGCGUUCGGUGUUUUUAAGUCCUCCGAACAAGACUCUCCGUUUUCGCAGUCGUCCUGGGAUUCACUGGAUUGCGUAGUCGGUGGUUCCGACGGUGCCUCCUCUUCGUGUAUAACUAUCUUCUCUCUCCACACCUGACUCGGUGCUACGGUCUCCUCAGGACAGUUCUAUUCAACCUGUAUGUCUUCAGACCUUACCACUUUUCCUUCGUAGUCUGCACAUCCGUCUUUGAUGAUUUGCCUCCUCUGGAUGCAGUUGCGUCGUCUUCUUCUUGUCCUAACCUGCUUAGAGUCUUCAACUAUAUAGUUAGGGUCAGUAAAAUAGCAGCGUACCUUCUCAGAGGGGAAGUGCAUGUGGACUUCUCCGGUUCCAAUGUAGAUGAUUGCUUUAACGGUGCCGAGGAACGGUCUCCUAAUGAUGAUGGGUGGAUCGUACUCGUCUUCUCCCAUGUCAAUAACCUUCAACCUUUCGGAAUGUCUGAUCUGCCAUCUGGAGCUGAAUGUAUGUCGGUUUUAGGGGCAUGGUUCCGAACAGGAGCUGAUAGGUGACGGCGGCCAUUAUAUUGACGCCUGACCCGGUGUCGCAAAGCAUCUUCUGGAAGUUGUAUCCAUUAAUGGAGCACUGGAUGCUUGGCAUACUUGGGUCGUCCUUUUUGGUCAGGAAUGGUGACUUAAGUCGACGAUCUUGACCUCCUUGAACUGCAGUGACCAUCUUAGCUGACUCGGUCCACAUUUGCUUGUUCCUGUUCCUCCUGUUGGUCCUCUUCCUUGGUUCAUGUCGGGAUUGCUCUGAGAUUUGUGUAGUCUGGUUCUUGAAGGAAAACGUCUCCUUCCUCCCCUUGAUGUAGAAACUAAUCUUGGCAGCACUAGCGUAGUUGACAGCUCCUGAGGUGUUCAGGAAUGGCCUCCCUUGGAUGAUGGGUGCCCUCUCAUCAGUACCAGUCUCUAUCACCACGAAGUCUGCU
rnacentral:lncRNA from 1 species